GCUCGGGUGGCGAAAUUGGUAGACGCGCGGGAUUAAGGAUCCCGUGGAGCAAUCCUUGCAGGUUCAAUUCCUGUCCCGAGCA
rnacentral:tRNA from 1 species